CCAUCCCAUGUGAUGAAGCUGCUUUAACAUGUACUAGAUAACUUGUAAGCACUUUUUUUUUUCUAUGGAACGUUGUGUGCAUGAUCCAAGAAGCUCAAAAAGUAGUCCAGUUAAUCUGUUUUUGGCAACUAAUUUAUUAUAUAUUUUCAUAUAAUUAGUUUAAGGUCUGUUUGAUAGGGAAAAAUAUUUUUUAGAAUUGAUUUUCCCUAUUUUCCAGUGUUUGAUUGGAGGAAAAUGAAUUCCACAAUCACUUCCUUAGUUUUGGAAAACGUCUUACCGAUUUUCCUUCCGUAUGACAUUUUCCAUUCCCUUCUCUACACUCUCAUCGUCUCAGCUUCAAAAUUUUCUUUGCAGACUUUCUUUGGAAAGGUAUGUUUUCUAUUUCCACUUUCAUUUCUACUCAUUUUCUGUGGCUUCUCCCAUUCCAAUCCAUUCUUCAUUUCGAUUCCCUCAAUCCUCCCCGCUCCAACCCUGUACCCGAAUUUCAAUCCAUUCUUCAUUCUCAUUGAAUUAUUUCUGUUGGUGAAUUAAUGCAAUUUCCAGGCUUCUACGUGAUGGGUUUGUAAUUUUCUAAACCUCAUAGCUUUUAUGGGUUUCUUUUUGUUAUUAAUUUUUUAGCUUUUAAUUGUAUUUCUCGGUGUUCUUAACUUUUCUUCCAUUGGAUUGUGGUUCGUAGCUUAUGGCUUUGUGGGGUUACGCUUGUUCUGUUUAUAGAGUUUCUUCUAUUGGAUUGUCAUUUCUAGGCUUUUAGCUUUCUUGGGGUUCUUGUUUUUAAGUCUAUUGAUGAUGCAAAUUCAUGUUCAGUCCUCGUUCGCACGCUUCAUGUGCGGUCAAGGAUAUGAUACCUGGAUUCUUGAACUUAGAGGUGCUGGAUUGAGUACACAAGGAAUGGAUUUUGGACAAUAUAUAGACCCUUUAGAUUCUAUUUCUCAGAGGAAGGAUUUUUAUAGUAAGGGUACAGAUUAUAAGAGGUUUUCAGAAACAGAAAAAAGAUAUGCUUUUUCCAGUCAAAUUACGGAUUUAAUUGAAAAGCUUGUAAAUAUAAUUGAAGAAGCUGAAAGAUCAUCUCCAGUACGUGCUUUUGAUAUGCAAAACAGCAUUUCUACAGCACUAAAAGAUAUGCAGAAACAACUUGAUCUUAUUUCCAAGUAUGAUUGGGACUUUGACAACUACCUAGAAGAAGAUGUCUCUGCUGCGAUGGAAUACAUAAAGGAUAAGAAUGAACCAAAGGAUGGCAAGUUACUUGCAAUUGGUCAUUCUAUGGGCAGUAUCUUUCUAUAUGCGAUGUUAUCACAAUGUGGUUAUGAAGGAAAUGUUCUGGAUUGGCGGCAGUCACUACGUUGGCAUUAUCAUUGGACCAUAUGUCUUCUAGAUCAUCACUCAAACUGCUUUUACCCCUGGCAAGUGUUAUUGAAGUGAAAUUGCUUAAGCAUUGUUUCUCUGUGAAGUGUUAUUAUCUGCUUGUAUAUAUAUUGACAAUAAUCUGAUGUUAUUUCUCUUCGGCCGUAGAUCUAGUGUAUCAUUGUAUAAUAGAAUUUCUCAAUCAUCAUGACGCAGCUUGAAGUUGUUGAGACUUCUUCUUCAUUCAAGCUUCGUUCUGUAUUUUUUUUCCCCAUGAAGGAAGGACCCGACUUAAGAAGAAUCUUCAAGCCAGUCUUGCCCUUAAAAUUCUACAUCAGCUAGUACAUAUACAUACAUAAAAGGAGGUAAAGGAUCAAUACCAUGCAUGUAGUUGUAUUGUUGUAUAAAAGUUUGUUAAUAUGCACAGACAUUUAGAAAAAGUAGUGUAUGUUUAUAUGGUAUACAUAUAUCACUACUCUCUCUCUUAGACAACAACAUGUAGUUGUAUUGUUGUAUUAAAGUUUGUUAAUAUCUAAAGACAUUUAGAAAAGUAGUGUAUGUUUAUAUGGUAUACAUAUAUCACUA